GAGGAUGCGAGCGUUAUCCGGAUUUAUUGGGUUUAAAGGGUGCGUAGGCGGAGAUUCAAGUCAGCGGUAAAAAUGCGGGGCCCAACCCCGUCGAGCCGUUGAAACUGGGUUUCUAGAGUGUGCGAGAGGUAUGCGGAAUGCGUGGUGUAGCGGUGAAAUGCAUAGACAUCACGCAGAACCCCGAUUGCGAAGGCAGCAUACCGGCGCCCAACUGACGCUGAGGCACGAAAGCGUGGGUAUCGAA
rnacentral:rRNA from 1 species